UUAUCGGAGAGUUUGAUCCUGGCUCAGGACGAACGCUGGCGGCGUGCCUAAUACAUGCAAGUCGAGCGGACAGAUGGGAGCUUGCUCCCUGAUGUUAGCGGCGGACGGGUGAGUAACACGUGGGUAACCUGCCUGUAAGACUGGGAUAACUCCGGGAAACCGGGGCUAAUACCGGAUGCUUGUUUGAACCGCAUGGUUCAAACAUAAAAGGUGGCUUCGGCUACCACUUACAGAUGGACCCGCGGCGCAUUAGCUAGUUGGUGAGGUAAUGGCUCACCAAGGCAACGAUGCGUAGCCGACCUGAGAGGGUGAUCGGCCACACUGGGACUGAGACACGGCCCAGACUCCUACGGGAGGCAGCAGUAGGGAAUCUUCCGCAAUGGACGAAAGUCUGACGGAGCAACGCCGCGUGAGUGAUGAAGGUUUUCGGAUCGUAAAGCUCUGUUGUUAGGGAAGAACAAGUACCGUUCGAAUAGGGCGGUACCUUGACGGUACCUAACCAGAAAGCCACGGCUAACUACGUGCCAGCAGCCGCGGUAAUACGUAGGUGGCAAGCGUUGUCCGGAAUUAUUGGGCGUAAAGGGCUCGCAGGCGGUU
rnacentral:rRNA from 1 species